AAUAGCUGUGCUCUUGGAUGUUCCCUGCAGAGUGCAAGUGGCUGUGGACAGAACAAUGAAACCUGAGGAAGAAACUUAAUAUUGAGAAUGAAUACUGGCACACCUAGAGGAAUUUCUACAAAGAAUAUAAGAUUACCAAACUGAACAUAAGAAACCAUAAAUGACAUGUACACUGUUGGAAAUAUAUCUAAAUUUGCAUAGAACUUUGUCAGAUAAAUCACAGCUAAACCUGUUGAAUUUUUUAUAAUCAAGAGUAAUAAGUGUGGCUAUCAAUGUGCAUUUUAAUCCAAGUUUCUUAGAAGUCUGUAAUUGUUCCAGGUUGGUGAGAUACAGUUUCUAACACAAAGUACAGAAUUUCUCUCAUCAGAGUAAGAGAUUCUUGUGCCUGUGUGUCUGUUCUCUCCUACCUGAGUAUAUAAUGUCUCUGCUGGAUUACCCAAGACCGUUCUGUUCACAAAGAGCCUGAAGUGGAAGAAUCUGUGGGUAUUUACAUGUUCUCAAACCUGUCUGGAUUGUUGUAACUACAAGGGAAAGUAUUAGGCCAAUUCAAAUGCUAACUUUGCAAAAGCACUCAACCAAAAACAAUUCAGCAUCACUGUCUUAAAAGAAUUUGGGCAAACUAAAGAAGCAAAUUUAUUUUAUUUUAUUUUAUUUUAUUUUAUUUUUUGAGACUGAGUCUCACUCUCGCCCAGGCUGGAGUGCAGUGGCACGAUCUCAGCUCACUGUAACCUCUGCCUCCCAGUUUCAAGUGAUUCUCCUGCCUCAGCCUCCUGAGUAGCUGGGAUUACAGGUGCCUGCCACCAUGCCCAGCUAAUGUUUGUAUUUUUGGUAGAGAUGGGGUUUCACCAUGUUGGUCAGGCUGGUCUCAAACUCCCGACCUCGUGAUCCACCCACCUUGGCCUCCCAAAGUGCUGGGAUUAUAGGCGUGAGCCACUGUGCCCAGUUGUAAACUUUAAAUUAAUACAAUAUAAAGCCUACAUAACUCCCUGGGAAUGUCAAACUUGUGGGACUCACAGUGGAUAUACAUGAAAGGCCAUAUCCUGAGAUCCAAAGGAAAAGCUGAUUUAAAUGACAAGAUAUGUUAUAUUUACCAAUGCAUAUAUUUAAUGAAUCAAGCACACAGUCCUCAUCUAUUCAGCAAUUUCAGCAAUUUCAGUGCUUUUCCUGCUUGCCUUGAAAAUUUCAUCUAGGAGUUCACAAAGGAAUACUCUUUGAAGCUUCAUCAUCAAAAGGAUUUUUCCCCAGGGAAGUCGAGUUUUUAGUUGUCUUUUAUUGUCAUCAAUCCUUAGUCUAGGUCUGUCCUCUGGUGAUGGGUUGUGUUUACAGCAACAGUGUUCCUGGACCCAGAGAUCCUCAGGCAACAUUAUAGUGACCAUUUAUUCUGACCCCCUAAAUGGAAAUGAGGUCUAAUGAAUGAGGCUUAUAAUGUUAUUUGGUUUUCCUGGAAUAAAAUAACCUGGAAACAGUGGUUGGAAAUCACUGGCUUGGAGAAGCCAAGAGUGCUUGCUGUCUUCAACAGUUCAGUAUGUGCUGCUAAUUACAUCAAUAUACACCAGUGAGCACCUGACCAAUCUCUUUGCACGGAAACCUUUGUCAAUCUUGUGCUCCCUUUCUUCUGUAGUUCCUGGUCCAGGCUGCAUGGAUAAUGAGGGAGUAGGAAAGAGCUAACACAGUUCACCUUGGCUUCAUCCAAAAGCCAAUUCUUGUCUUCCCAGCUACAUCCCUCUGACAGUUCCAACUCCUUUAUCGUCUGCAUUUUAGCAUCCCUUUCAUGAAGAGCUAUUUGAAAAUCAACCAAAAAUUACAUACAAGCCUUAAAUUGAAGUUUGCCAAUUUAGGUGCAGUAAUUGCAGAAGAAAGAAAAACAGUUACUAGAGGAGUUGAGGAGAAAGAUCACUACAUGGUAGGUAAGAGAAGAUUGCCCAAAUAGGGAGAGCAAGGAUAAUUUUUAAGAUCAUGGCAUUGGUGUGCACAAACUUAGCUUCCUUUGGGACAGGCCUCAUAGGGUAGUGAGACACCAUCUCCUUUAAAUGUGAUGGCAACACUUGACUCAUUCUAAAUUACAGGCAUCCCUAAUUUUUAUGCCAAGAAAGAUUUUCUCCAAUGUAAUGUGGGAAGACCAGAUGGCCUUGUCAUUGCUAUCAGUGGAUCACGGAGCUCUUGAGAGCAUGCCGAGGGCUCUGGCUUUAGCUAAUUAACGUGAGCUCCGAGUCAGAGGCAAGAAUUAAGCAAUCAACUCCUUUCUUGAAUUCUUAUACAUUUUGGAAUUGUGCCCAUGAUUAGCUUGCUCUGAAAAGUCUCAAUAUAGAAAAAAAAGUAUCACUUGGGCUAAGCAAAGAAUUAUAGGAAAACUCCCAUAUGUACUUGGAAAGAGAAAUUAAAUGUCUAAUUAGGGCAAGAUAAAACCAGAUAGAGCCAAAUCUAUAAUACUUUUUUGUAGGAGAAAUAUUUAUUUCUAUUAAUAGAGGUUGUGUAAAGUUUUGAGAGUUAGGCGGAAUCAGGUAGCCUCUGAUUAAGUUGCAUUUUAAUAUUUCAUACAAUUUUUGAGGAAAAUAAAGCCCCUAUUAGUCAAGUGGAUAUUGUAAAUGACGUCAAGAUUAUUUUUCUGCGUGAAAGAGUGCAUCAUAAAUCUCUUUUUCCUUCAGUCUUUCUUGUGUUUAUUAUUUCUACAUACACAGCAUCCAAUAGAGUGACUAACACAUAGUGAAUAUUUAAAAAUGUUUGCUGAAAAAAAUGACUAGAUUUGGAACAAGAUUCUGUGUGGUACUGUCGCUGCUAUAUGGUUAUUGCAUGGGAAGCUUUGAAUCCAUUUAUUAACUUGUUUGCUAAACAAACAAUUGUUGAUCUCCUGCUGUGGGCCUAGGUAUGGAGUUCUAGGGAUAAGAAUAAAACAGACAAAAAUAAAACAAAAGCUGAACAUCUACAACUUUGAGUUAGUAUGACCCUUUGAAUUUGUGAAGAUUAUUGAUAUUGAUAUGAUAUUUCUUGUAAUAUGAUACAGUUCUUCCAAUAUUGCAGCAACAUGAUGAUUAAAUACAAAAAACCCCAACCCCAAACAAUAGCUUUUUGGACUCACAACCCAAGUAUGUGCAUUUCUUUCAUUUCCUUGUCUCCUUGCUUGACUCCCAUUACCCUAUUUUUUUUUUAAGAUGGAGUCUCACUCUGUCACCCAGAGUGGAGGGCAGUGGUGCAAUCUUGGCUCACUACAAUCUCCGCCUUCCAGCUUCAAGCUAUUCUCCUGCCUCAGGCUCCUGAGUUGCUAGGACUACAGGCAUGCACUAUCACAGCCAGCUAAUUUUCAUAGUUUUAGUAGAGAUGGGGUUUCACUAUGUUGGCCAGGCUGGUCUCGAGCUCCUGACCUCAGGUGAUCCACCCGAGGUCUCCCAAAGUGUUGGGAUUACAGAUGUGAGCCACUGUGCCUGGCCCCAUUACCUUACUUUACAGAUUGCUUCCAUUGUCCAGCAAUUUACAAGAAGAGAGCUGCUUCUAUAUCCCAGGUCAAUGUUGCUUUCAGGCAGUGGAGCCAAAGGGUAGAGAAGAAUGAGAUAAUGUGGAUCUAUAGCCAUGUGCUUUUUCCCCUGUGCUGGCCUGGAAAGAAUGUCCAAAGCUCUCACAGAUGUGCACACUCAAACUAACAUUUAUUUUAUGAAAGCUCUUUCCUUUGGCAUGCAGCCUUUGUCUACAACACAGCUUUCUGACAAAAUUCUCCCAAGGCUUUUUCUUAAGGUGGUGCAAGCUCUAGGCUUGGGGUGUCCAAUAUGGUAGCCACUAACUGCAUGUAUCAGGCCCUUGAAAUGUGUCUGGUGUGACUGAGGAACUAAACUUCUAAUUUCAUUUAAUUUUAAUUAAUUUAAAGCUAACUUUAAAACUGGUAAUUCAGUUUUGGAAAUGUUUCAAGAAUGUUUGGAACAACUUGGUGCCUCUGCAAAUCUGUUUUUUUCAACUGUUAAUUUCAUGAAAUCUAAAUACAGAUCAAGUAUUUCCGAUGAAAAUUUAGUGUCCAAAUUGAGAUGUAAAGUGCAAAAUAUGUACCAGAUUUCAAAACAGUACAAAAUGUAAACUAUCUCAAAUAAUUUUUAAAAUAUUGAUU
rnacentral:lncRNA from 1 species